rnacentral:rRNA from 1 species
CGUGUAGGCGGUUUCUUAAGUCUGAUGUGAAAGCCCUGGGCUCAACCCAGGAAGUGCAUUGGAUACUGGGAGACUUGAAUACGGGAGAGGGUAGUGGAAUUCCUAGUGUAGGAGUGAAAUCCGUAGAUAUUAGGAGGAACACCGGUGGCGAAGGCGGCUACCUGGACCGAUAUUGACGCUGAGACGCGAAAGCGUGGGGAGCAAACA